UUUGAGUCGAACAUCUUAGCUGCAAUCCUUUCUCUGUUUUAUUUUUAUUUUUUCUUUUUCCGCACAGUUUCAUCACAUCCACAUCAGUUCAGAAAAACAGCCAAACCAAGCACCUCUAACAUGACAAAAUCUUCUCCGACAUCCUCUUUGCCUCACCAACAAAAUCCACUCCUGAAGGUCACAAGGGAUAUUUCCAGGGAAGUCUUUUGAAGAUGGAGGAGAACGAAGGUUGGAUGGCUGAGGUUCUUGAUAUCUGUGGGAGUUGAUUGGCUUUUGGCAUGUCACUGCUUGACCUUUCGCAGAUUUGCACCACCUGCCCACUUGUCCCACGUGAUGGUGCCUUGGGAAAAUAGGUGGUAUUUGAGACGUAUAAAGUGAGCAGUGGUUUAGUUUUGAAAAAAAAGGGGGGGCUGUGUAGAAUUUCUUGGUGGGGUACGGCUGGUUUGUAACCUCCCUCCAUAUCCUUCUACCAAAACCAUAAGCAAAAAACAUGUGAUCCUUCCCCUCUAUACAGCUCCUGCAGUAUAGGCACAAGACCACACAAUACAGCUCCUGAAAUUGUUCUUAAAACCUCACUGGAGACUAUCCUUAUUAGUUGAAAUGGCAUGUUGGGUCCCCCUCAUUUGGCUUCUAGUUAUACGCAAUGGUUAUGACACAAAGAUGAAAACGAUGUGUGCCCGGCGCUUGUUCUAGGCCAUUGUAGCUCAAUGAUAAAGAUGGGGACGCAGGUUUAGGAUCACAAGUGCUUGUUGCAACUAAUGUACAACCAUGUCAGAUGAUGACUCAAGGACCCUCCAAUGCAUCUUCUAUUAUGUCCAGCAAGAAGAAAAGAGGAUGAGUGAGAUUUAGAUAAGAACGUGAUUGAGCACAAUGAAUAUGUGGAGUAUGCCUUAUCAAAUAGUUAUAAAACACUUCGUUAUGGUCUUCAUCGUCAAUUUCGAAAAUGCGGUGGUGAUAAAGACUCAACAAGGGUGAAGGAAAAAGUUGAAGAGAAUAUUUCACAACCCACGUGACAUAAGAUAUGAGAAUCAUUUGACAACAAAGAUUGGAAGAAUUUGAUGCUAGAAAUGUUGGUUGACGAAGAAGUUGUCUUAAAUGAAGAGAAAAUAUUAACACAAGCUCUUGGUGGGAAAUGUUCUGGACAUGUUAGAGCGAUGGAAAAAUAUGUAAUACCUACCCCAUCCUCUUCGCAUUCGCGAUAUGGCACCCAAGUCAGCCUUGAGUUGGAGGAAACAAAGCUCGAAGUGCCUAAGUUAUUAGAUCAAUUAAUGGAAAACGAAAGAUAAAGAGAUGAACAAAUGGAGGAAAUGCAAAAUGAGUCAAAGCGAAGGAUCGAGGAAAUUCAAAAGGAAUCAAAGCGACAU